rnacentral:rRNA from 1 species
UACGGAGGGUGCAAGCGUUAUCCGGAUUCACUGGGUUUGAAGGGUGCGUAGGCGGGCAGGUAAGUCAGUGGUGAAAUCUCCGAGCUUAACUCGGAAACUGCCAUUGAUACUAUUUGUCUUGAAUAUUGUGGAGGUAAGCGGAAUAUGUCAUGUAGCGGUGAAAUGCUUAGAUAUGACAUAGAACACCAAGUGCGAAGGCAGCUUACUACACAAUGAUUGACGCUGAGGCACGAAAGCGUGGGGAGCAAACAGG